AGCAGCCGCGGUAAUUCCAGCUCCAAUAGCGUAUAUUAAAGUUGUUGCAGUUAAAAAGCUCGUAGUUGAAUUUCGGGAUCAUCAGGUUGGUCGUGCCUCUGGUAUGUACUGAUUUCGAUGGUUCCUCCUUCUAAAGAACCGUAAUGCCAUUAAUUUGGUGUUACGGGGAAUUAGGACUGUUACCUUGAAAAAAUUAGAGUGUUUAAAGCAGGCUCACGCUUGAAUACAUUAGCAUGGAAUAAUGAAAUAGGACAUCCGAUUCUAUUUUGUUGGUUUCUAGGAUCGAUGUAAUGAUUAAUAGGGAUAGUUGGGGGCAUUAGUAUUCAAUUGUCAGAGGUGAAAUUCUUGGAUUUAU
rnacentral:rRNA from 1 species